UGGCUUUAUAAAGAAGUACGUGC
rnacentral:miRNA from 1 species